UACGUAGGCAGCGAGCGUUGUUCGGAAUUACUGGGCGUAAAGAGUGUGUAGGCGGUGCUCCAAGUCUGUUGUGAAAUCUCCCGGCUUAACUGGGAGGGUGCGGCGGAAACUAGAGUGCUAGAGGGUGGGAGAGGUAAGCGGAAUUCCUGGUGUAGCGGUGAAAUGCGUAGAUAUCAGGAGGAACACCUGUGGUAUAGACAGCUUACUGGACCACUUCUGACGCUGAGACACGAAAGCGUGGGUAGCAAACAGG
rnacentral:rRNA from 1 species